CCCUUGGCUCCUGCUCCAGCAGCACGAUGUGAAUCACCAACAAGGAGGGAUGUCAAUAAGGGAUUGAAGGUAAAUUCCUAUUUAUGAAGAUGCCACGCACUUUUUACACAGGACUCAAAGGGUUCAAGCUGGGUCUGACCUGAGGACAAACUCCCUGAGGACUUGCUUUCAUGAUUGCUCUUGAACAUUGAGAGAUGAAAUUGCAGCAUCGGUUUUCUUUGUCACAAGAUUGGCAAAGUACAUGAAAGACUGAGUAAAAAUCAGAAGACUUAGCAUUAUAGGGUAAACAUACAGAGAUGGAUCUUUAGAAGCAUUGGGACAAACAACAAGCAAAGUAACUGCCAUUUUAGUAAUGCAUUGCUCUGAGAAUGACAGUGUUUCUUAGAUAAGACUUUCAAAGUCUUAGAUAAGACUUUCAGUGGUUUUUGAUAUACACUAUGUGUGUAGUAAUAAAAACCAUCCAUCUGCAAUUGCUUCUUUUGCAGGAAUAUUGGAAAAUACUAAUCAGAAAAUUGUCAGAUUAAUAUGGCUACAUUAAACCAUGUCUUUGAUUAAGAAUAUCACAUCA